GUUUAUUUUGCUGCACAGAUGGAAUUUAGGAUAAGCCCUCAGCUAUGUGCUCUCUGAGAAAGUGUCUAGUGUGUGUUGGUGUAAGACACCUGGUAUCUUUAGACAGCAUGAGUCCCUUGUGAUUACUACAGGUUCUGCAAAGAACUAUUACUCUGGGCAAGGACUUUGUUGACAUUCCCUUUAGCAGAGACUCGAUGAUGUUCACAGCCACCAGCUCUUAGGAAAGGCUGUUGUGGGCAGCAGCACAGCUGGACGUUGCUUUACUUACUGAUGGGAGAUUCAUAAGGAUACUUGCUCUUACAGCCCACCUGCCCUGCUGGGAGGAUGCUGGGAAAACCUUGAGAGCCAUGUGCAGCUGUCUGGCCAGCAAUCCCAGCCUUGUUCCCAGCCAGCUGCCAGACCUGGGAGUGAGGAAGCCUUCCAGAAGACCCCAGCCUAGUCCCCAUCUGACAGCGACCUCAUGAGAUAUCCUGAGUGAGAUCUACCUGGCUGAGCCCAAUAAACCCAUGAAAACAUCAGAGAGAUGAGGUUUUGCCAUGUUGCCAAGGCUGGUCUCGAACUCCUGGGCUCGAGUGAUCUGCCUGCCUCUGCCUUCCAAAGUACUGAGAUUACAAGAGUGAGUCACCACAUCCAGUCGUCUUUUUCCUUUUUCUUUUAGAUUCUACAUCUUUUCUGGGGUCGUGCUGGUUAUACCAACCUUAUCUCAGCUACGUGAAGGAUUGUCGUGCUGGAGAAGACAUGUGUGGAGACCCACCUGACCAAAGCUCAACUUCAUGAACAUAAGAGCUGGAGGAACUGCCUUUCAGACUGUCCAGCUUGCUCAGAAAAGUGGCCUUCCUUUGGCUGGGAGACGGAUGAAGAAAUUGAAGCCCAGAAAAAUUAAGUAACUUGUCCAAAUCCAAACAGAUGAAUUAAAAUCUUGAUGACUGUUUAGUCGCUUGAAGACAUUUUGUGUAACAUUUCAGCUUCAAUAAGAAGACGGGAGCUCGAUGCAAGGAUGUUUUACUGGGAGCCUACAGUGGAGCUUAGAAAGUCAUGUUCUGGCUGGGUGCAGUGGCUUAUGCUUACAAUCCCAGCACUUUGGGAGGCCGAGGCCGGUGGAUCGCUUGAGCUCAGGAGUUCAAGACCAGCCUGGGCAACAUGGUGAAACUCCAUUUCUGCAAAAAGUACAAAAAAUUAGCCAGGUGUCAU